rnacentral:rRNA from 1 species
GAUGAACGCUGGCGGCGUGCCUAAUACAUGCAAGUCGAGCGAACAGAUAAGGAGCUUGCUCCUUUGAAGUUAGCGGCGGACGGGUGAGUAACACGUGGGUAACCUACCUAUAAGACUGGGAUAACUUCGGGAAACCGGAGCUAAUACCGGAUAACAUUUAGAACCGCAUGGUUCUAAAGUGAAAGAUGGUUUUGCUAUCACUUAUAGAUGGACCCGCGCCGUAUUAGCUAGUUGGUAAGGUAACGGCUUACCAAGGCGACGAUACGUAGCCGACCUGAGAGGGUGAUCGGCCACACUGGAACUGAGACACGGUCCAGACUCCUACGGGAGGCAGCAGUAGGGAAUCUUCCGCAAGGGGCGAAAGCCUGACGGAGCAACGCCGCGUGAGUGAUGAAGGGUUUCGGCUCGUAAAACUCUGUUAUUAGGGAAGAACAAAUGUGUAAGUAACUGUGCACAUCUUGACGGUACCUAAGCAGAAAGCCACGGCUAACUACGG